UCACGCCGAGAGGAGGUGAUCGGGUACAUGAGUGAAACCCGGACGCGCGAGGUGGCUGCGGGCUAGCGGCCCGCCAUCCCACCCAGUGUGGUGUCGGACCAGCGUGUGAGCGAAACACGCAGCCGGCCCAGACCCACGCAGCCGGCCCAGACCAACGCAGUCACCCGACCCGCAAGCUCGCCGGUACGUCCGGCCGGCUCCCCCGCUCAGGCGGUGGAACCCGAGCUUGCGGGUCGUCUGCG
rnacentral:sRNA from 1 species